CUGCACUUUACAGGAGAGGAAGCUGAGGCUCAGAGAAGCAAACUGCCCUCCUACUUAUGUUGAAGACUUUCCCAUCCUAUGAGCCCAGGUGGGAGAAGCUGAAAAUGGCAGAAGGUCACUUUUCCAGCUGCCCUGUGCCUGGUGAGCCUGUGACACAGACCCCGUUGCUCACAUAUCCACCCAGUUUGGUGCCAUAGGUGGUAGGGGUUCAGCCAUGGAUGGUGAUUUAAGAUGAG
rnacentral:lncRNA from 10 species